rnacentral:rRNA from 1 species
AACGAACGCUGGCGGCAUGCCUAAUACAUGCAAGUCGAACGAGACCUUCGGGUCUAGUGGCGCACGGGUGCGUAACGCGUGGGAAUCUGCCCUUGGGUUCGGAAUAACAGCUGGAAACGGCUGCUAAUACCGGAUGAUGACGUAAGUCCAAAGAUUUAUCGCCAGGGAUGAGCCCGCGUAGGAUUAGCUAGUUGGUGGGGUAAAGGCCUACCAAGGCGACGAUCCUUAGCUGGUCUGAGGGGAUGAUCAGCCACACUGGGACUGAGACACGGCCCAGACUCCUACGGGAGGCAGCAGUAGGGAAUAUUGGACAAUGGGCGCAAGCCUGAUCCAGCAAUGCCGCGUGAGUGAUGAAGGCCUUAGGGUUGUAAAGCUCUUUUACCCGAGAUGAUAAUGACAGUAUCGGGAGGAUAAGCUCCGGCUAACUCCGUGCCAGCAGCCGCGGUAAAAC